rnacentral:siRNA from 1 species
AUAUAAAUAACGUUUGGCAGCCU